GUUUUAUGCUCUUGGGGUUAACUGAAGGGAGACUCAUCUAUGCAGCUCUGGGGACAUUUCCAUCCAUGCUGGAGUAGACUCCCCAGUGACUCGGCUGUUUGGGGGGUCAUCCACACUCCUACCUCCCGCCUUCUAAACAGAGGAACACGAUGGGGAAAGGACCUGCUGGACACUCCAUGAGCCCCACUGCGACACUGAGGGCUUGAGGGGAGCCGCUGCCUGCAAAGCCUAGAAAAACUGCCAGGGAUAUGCGCAUGUGUGGGUGCCCUUAGGGGACUGAAGAUGGCACUGGAUCUCUGGGAACUGGAGUCACAGGAGGCGUGUCUACACAGCAGCCAGAAGAGUGCAUCAAACCCCCCCACCCCCGAGAAGGAGCAACAGACAGUCCUAAGCUGUGAUGCAGACAAGUGUCUCCCAACUUUAGACAAGUUAUGCCUCCUUGUGAUUGAAACCGGGACUGAAAGUCAAGAGUAGCCGCCCUGAUCCCAGUGACCACAAGGGGGCGGCCGAGGCUCUGCGUCCGCAUGUAGAGGUCA